CCUACGGGAGGCAGCAGUAGGGAAUCUUCCACAAUGGGCGAAAGCCUGAUGGAGCAACGCCGCGUGGGUGAAGAAGGUCUUCGGAUCGUAAAACCCUGUUGUUAGAGAAGAAAGUGCGUGAGAGUAACUGUUAACGUUUCGACGGUAUCUAACCAGAAAGCCACGGCUAACUACGUGCCAGCAGCGGCGGUAAUACGUAGGUGGCAAGCGUUAUCCGGAUUUAUUGGGCGUAAAGGGAACGCAGGCGGUCUUUUAAGUCUGAUGUGAAAGCCUUCGGCUUAACCGGAGUAGUGCAUUGGAAACUGGGAGACUUGAGUGCAGAAGAGGAGAGUGGAACUCCAUGUGUAGCGGUGAAAUGCGUAGAUAUAUGGAAGAACACCAGUGGCGAAAGCGGCUCUCUGGUCUGUAACUGACGCUGAGGUUCGAAAGCGUGGGUAGCAAACAGGAUUAGAUACCCCAGUAGUC
rnacentral:rRNA from 1 species